rnacentral:rRNA from 1 species
UACGUAGGGUGCGAGCGUUGUCCGGAAUUAUUGGGCGUAAAGAGCUCGUAGGCGGUGUGUCACGUCGGCCGUGAAAACCUGCAGCUUAACUGUGGGCGUGCGGUCGAUACGGGCAGACUAGAGGUAUGCAGGGGAGAACGGAAUUCCUGGUGUAGCGGUGAAAUGCGCAGAUAUCAGGAGGAACACCAAUAGCGAAGGCAGCUCGCUGGGACGUUACUGACACUAAGGCGCGAAAGCGUGGGGAGCGAACAGG